rnacentral:SRP_RNA from 1 species
GCCGGGCACCGUGGCUCGUGCCUGUGAUCCCAGCUCCUGGGGAGACCGAGGCCGGCAGAUGGCCGGCGCUCAGGGGUUCUAGGCGGCAGUGGGCGGUGCCCAUUGGGUGACCUCACUAAGCUCUGCAUCGAUAUGGUGAUCCCUGGGAAGCUUGGGGUCACCAGGUUGCCUAAGGAGGGGUGAACCGGCCCCGGUCAGAAAUGGAGCAGGUCAGAACUCCCCUGCCAAUCCGUAGUGGGAUCGUGCUUGUGAAUAGCCCCUGCAGCGUAGCCUGGGCAAGACACCGGGACUCGGUCCCUU